CAGAAUUAUAGGUUAACUUGUUGAAGGGUCAAAUAUUAUAUUGAUUCUACUCUUGAGACACUGAAAUUCAAAGAACAUUCCAAAUUGAUGUAUCAGUAGCAGAACUCCAAAUAAUUUCUUAAAUGAAUAAAAAUGGGUGGAGGAGAGAAAAACUAAAUAAACUACAGAAUUAUAUUGGUAAAUAUAUAUAUCAUCUAACUUAUAUAAUAAAUAUUGUGAUGUAAGAUAGCAAAUUGGCAGCUUUGUUAGUGUUAGAAUACUUUUUGCUAUUUGUUUUGACUCUCUGUACUCUGAGUUCACAUUCUACUGAAGUUAACUUUUUGUAUCUCUUUGGGGAUGAUUAAAAAAAGUACCAGUUCAGAAUGAUACUGUUUAAGUUGGUCAAAAUGCUUUACAGUAUCUUGCAUUCUGACAGCAACACCUGGGAUGCCACUGUUACCAAGUUGUAUCAGUCUAAGUUAGUGGAUUUUCCUUAAACAUCAAUGGAAUGCAGAGGAAGAUUUGCAUUCAUGGCCAACAGCUAGUUUUCUUCAAAACAUGCCUCAACAUACUUAUGCAGAUACAGGCUCCACAUCGACUGCUGGAGGCCUUAUGUGAUGAUGUGAUGUAUUUUUUACCACAUUAAUCAUAAUACAGUUAUUGUAAUGUUUCCUUGAUGAUGAAAUUGAGAAAUUCCUAAUGUAAUGUUUCAGUAAAUUGUACGUUAAAAUGUAUAAUAAUGGGAGGAGAAAUUUAUUUCCCUAUAGUAACAUUUAUACUCUGGAUAAUUCUUCAACUAGUAAAUGUAAAUCUGUUACCUAUUCCAAAUUGUGAAACCCCUAAAAACCAGCUGAUAUUUGCCUAAGUUCAACUUUUGAGUUUAUACAGUAUAUAUUUUGUUGAUUAAUCAAUCAACUGAUCAUUGAAGAAUUAAUAGCUUAAGUAUUUCUUAAUUACCAGCCAUAGCCAUGUAAUUUGAUUUCAUUUGUAAUUUAGAGAAUAUUUUGAGAUAAUUGCUUUAAAUUCUUGGUUGAAGAAAAAAUAUUUGCACUUGGUAAAAUCACAUUUGAAUUAAGUAGUUGAGAAAUAGCCAACUUGGCAUGAAAUUUCUUCAUUAAUGUUUUGAUUCCAAAAAAAAGAAUGUUUUGGCUAGUUUUGGUUAUACAUUUUUGUUUUCCAAAAUGUUUACAUUGAAAUGGUUAAUUUUAUGCAAGCAUAAAGAAGAAAAAAAAAAGACCAUAAUUAAACAAAACUGCUCUUGUAUUUUUAAUUAAUCUCAA